GACGGAAGGUGCAAGCGUUGCUCGGAAUCACUGGGCGUAAAGGGUGCGUAGGCGGCCGUGCAAGUCUGGCGUGAAAGCCCCGGGCUCAGCCCGGGAAGUGCGCUCGAAACUGCGCGGCUCGAGUGCCGGAGGGGAGAGUGGAAUUCCUGGUGUAGCGGUGAAAUGCGCAGAUAUCAGGAAGAACACCUAUGGCGAAGGCAGCUCUCUGGGAGCGGUACUGACGGCUGAGACGCGAAAGCGUGGGGAGCGAACAGG
rnacentral:rRNA from 1 species